rnacentral:lncRNA from 7 species
UGUUUUUCUCCGUUAGUUUUCCUACUUGUGGGGGUUGUGUGUGUGUGGGGGGUUGUGUGUGUGUGGGGGGGUUGUGUGUGUGUGGGGGGUUGUGUGUGUGUGGGGGGUUGUGUGUGUGUGGGGGGGUUGUGUGUGUGUGGGGGGGUUGUGUGUGUGUGGGGGGGUUGUGUGCUUUUGUUUUGUUUUUGCUUUUUGGUGUUUUAAGUUUAGAUUUUUGUUUUAGUGUUUCGUUUGUUUUUUAUCUCUUUUCUUUUUUUCAUUUUAUGUGUUUCUUUUCCUUGUAAUGUGUGGGGUUUUUUUUGUGUGUGUAUUUUCAUUUCUUUUGUUUUUUUCCUUUUGCUUUUUUGUUGUUUUUUUUUCUCCUCUCUCCUUUUAAUUUCUAUUUUGUGUCUUUUUUUUUCAUUUGUAUUUUUUGUUUUUUGCUGUGAGGCACUCUGUGGGGCGCUCUGUGUUGUUGGAAUUUCUUUUUUUCUUUUUUGUGUGUCUUUUGGUUUUUUUUGUGGGUUUUUGUUUUAGGUUUUUUUUUUUCAGAUUUGUUGCUUUAAAUGUGAUUAUUUUCAUUUGCUGUUUUUUUUUCCCUUCGUUUUCCUACAUUAUUUUUGUUUCUGAUCUUUUUUUGUGUGUGUUUUUUGUGCUUUUGUUCUGUUUUUGUUUUCUGUUUGCUUGUGUGUGUUAUGAUUAGAUUUUUGUUCUGGUGUUGUUUGUUCUUUUUCAUCUUUUAUUUUUGGUAUUUUAUUUUGUGGGCUUUUGCUUUCCAUUGUUCUUCUUUAUUCGUUUUUGAUUUAUUGCUUCUUUUUCUCUUAGUUUUCCUUUUCUUUUGUGUGUGCAUGUGUGUUUUUGUGUAUUGUGCUUUUGUUUUUGCUUUUUGUGUUUUAUGGCUACAUUAUUGUUUUGCUGUUUCGUUUGGUUUUUUCUUCUCUUUUUUUUUUUGCAUUUCUCGUGUUUCUCUUUCUCCUAAUAUGUGUGAUUUUUGUGUUUUUUCGUUGUUGUUUGGUUUUGCAAUUUUUUAAAAUUAUUUCUUUUUUAAUUUCUGUUCUGUGUGUUUUUUCUCAUUUGUUUUUUCCUUGUUUUUUUCUGUGGAGCGCUUUGUGGGCUUUUUUUUGUGGGCUUUUGGGUUUUUUUUUUUGGUGGGCUUUUGGGUUUUUUUUUUUUUUGGGCUUUUGGGUUGUUUUUUUUGUGGGCUUUUGGGUUGUUUUUUUUGUGGGCUUUUGGGUUGUUUUUUUUGUGGGCUUUUGGGUUGUUUUUUUGUGGGCUUUUGGGUUGUUUUUUUGUGGGCUUUUGGGUUGUUUUUUUUGUGGGCUUUUGGGUUGUUUUUUUUGUGGGCUUUUGGGUUGUUUUUUUUGUGGGCUUUUGGGUUGUUUUUUUUGUGGGCUUUUGGGUUGUUUUUUUUGUGGGCUUUUGGGUUGUUUUUUUUGUGGGCUUUUGGGUUUUUUUUGUGGGCUUUUGUUUUGUUGCUUUAAUGUGGUUGUUUUGAUUCGCUGUUAUUGCACUUCUGCAGUAGGAAAACGACUUUUUUGUGUGCGUUUGUGUUUUGUGCUUAUGUUUUGUUUUCGCUUUUUGUGUUUCUUGAUUAGAUUUCUGUUUUUGUUCCAUUUGUUUUUUUCUUUUGUUCUGUUUUUGGAAAAUUUCUUGUCUUUCCGUUUCGUCUAAUAUGUAUGUUUUUGUUGUAGCUUUUCGCUCUUUUUUUUUCCCUUUUUUAAUUUCUAUUUCGUGUGUUGUUCCUUCUGUGGGGCGCUCUGGGGCGCUCUGUGCUCUUGGGUAUUCAUAUCGUUUAUGGUUUGUCUGUUUCUUCCUGUGGUUUUCUGUUUCAGAUGGUUUUUCUUUUUUCUUUUCUGAUUUUUUGCUUGAAAUGUGAUUGUUUUCAUUUGCUGUUAUUUCCCUUCGUUUUCCUUCAUUUUUUCUCUUUACUUUACACCUCCU